rnacentral:lncRNA from 1 species
GAUUUUAAGCUCCUUGCAAGGAAAAUUAAAAUAUUUAUAUCUUCUACAUCCUUUCUCCAGAAAAUAAAGAAGACACUAGAAGAAAAAACCUUCAAAAGAGAAAUAUCUUAGAGAACUGCUAGAGUGGCCAAGACUGGGUCCAUGGAAGAAAAUGGUAUAUACCAACUAUCUCAGAAAAAAAGAGGUUUAAGAAUGAUUACCUUCUAAACUCAAGAUUCAAAUUUUAACAAAAAGUAAAGAGAAGAACAAGUGAGAAAGCUAGUAGCAAUGCAAGCAUGCUUGAGGACAUAGAAAAUUCAUGGAAAUCUGCAACAUGAAAAAAAUCAGAGAAAUCGUCAAAUCGGUAUCAGAAAAAGGUUAUGGGAAAAGCCAAACAUUGGUUGAAUUUGAGCUGACUGGAGGAUGCAAACUACAGCCGCAGGUCCAGGCAGAUAAGAAAAGUGAAGCCCAGAGAUGUCUUUCUCCAGCAUUAGGCUUUUCUGUAGUCAUUCAUUUUGGUAUGUAUGUGGGAAGGGAGUUUAAUUAAUGACAUCUUUCUUACAUAACCUUUUUUUUUUUUUAAAGGCUUUGGAUUGUACUUGUGUGAUCAUGUCUUUUUUCUUUCUUUCUUUCUUUCUUUCUUUCUUUCUUUCUUUCUUUCUUUCUUUUUCUUUCUUUCUUUCUUUUUUUUUUUGAAACAGGGUCUCACUCUGUCACCCAGGCUGGAGUGCCGUGGUAUGAUCACAGCUCACUGCAGCCUUGAACUCUCAGGUGAGGACUACAGGCACACCACCAUGCCUGGCUAAUUUUUGUAUUUUUAGUAGAGACAGGGUUUUGCCAUAUUGCCCAGGCUGGUCUUCAACUCCUAAGCUCAAGCCACCUGCCGGCCUCAGCUUCCCAAAGUGCUGGGAUUACAGGGGAA